UGAGGAAUAUUGGUCAAUGGGCGCGAGCCUGAACCAGCCAAGUAGCGUGAAGGAUGAAGGUCCUACGGAUUGUAAACUUCUUUUAUAGCAGAAUAAAGUGACCCACGUGUGGGUUUUUGUAUGUAAGCUAUGAAUAAGGAUCGGCUAACUCCGUGCCAGCAGCCGCGGUAAUACGGAGGAUCCGAGCGUUAUCCGGAUUUAUUGGGUUUAAAGGGUGCGUAGGCGGAAAGAUAAGUCAGCCUGUGAAAGUUUGCGGCUCAACCGUAAAAUUGCAGUUGAUACUGUUUUUCUUGAGUGUACAUAAGGUAGGCGGAAUUCGUGGUGUAGCGGUGAAAUGCUUAGAUAUCACGAAGAACUCCGAUUGCGAAGGCAGCUUACCGGGGUACAACUGACGCUGAUGCACGAAAGUGUGGGUAUCAAACA
rnacentral:rRNA from 1 species